GCAUCCAAUUGGGUUUCUUGCACCAAAUUGUUUUUUUUUGUAUAUUGUUUGUAGAAUAAAAAAAAAUUAGAAGAAGACUAUCAAAGUGAAAACUGUAAUUUUUAUUUUUAUUUUGUUCGACCAUCUAGUAAACUAACUAGGCAAGGAAAAAUGUGUAAUAACAUACAAGCCUGUUUCUCGAAGAAAGUUGAAAAUGUUAAAUGAUGAUAUAACGUUACGAUGCACAAAAGUAAAACAGAAAA
rnacentral:misc_RNA from 1 species